rnacentral:rRNA from 1 species
UACUCGCUGCGAGCUAAAGAUUGUUCGUGGCUUAGGGAAACCGAUAAGUAUCCCACCUGGGGAGUACGCCGGCAACGGUGAAACUCAAAGGAAUUGACGGGGGCCCGCACAAGUGGUGGAGCAUGUGGUUUAAUUCGAUGAUACGCGAGGAACCUUACCUAGGCUAGAAUGCGCGUGACCGGCUCAGAGAUGAGCCUUUCCUUCGGGACACAAAGCAAGGUGCUGCAUGGCCGUCGUCAGCUCGUGCCGUGAGGUGUUGGGUUAAGUCCCGCAACGAGCGCAACCCCUAUGUUUAGUUGCCAGCAUGUAAUGAUGGGGACUCUAGACAGACUGCCUGCGCAAGCAGUGAGGAAGGCGGGGACGACGUCAGGUCAUCAUGGCCCUUACGCCUAGGGCGACACACGUGCUACAAUGGACGGUACAGCGGGUAGCUACACAGCGAUGUGAUGCCAAUCUCGAAAAGCCGUUCUCAGUUCGGAUCGGAGUCUGCAACUCGACUCCGUGAAGCUGGAAUCACUAGUAAUCGCGCAUCAGCCAUGGCGCGGUGAAUACGUUCCCGGGCCUUGUACACACCGCCCGUCAAGCCAUGAAAGUCUGGUAG